rnacentral:rRNA from 1 species
AUGCGUAGCCUGAGCCCCCUGUACUCUCUCCUCCUCCUCCUUACCGGCGCAACCAUGGCCGCCGCGGACCCUUGGUCCACCGACUGCCCGAGCGACACAAACUACACCCGCGGUGGUGUCUUCCAGGCCAACCUCGACGCCCUCCUCUUGUUCCUCCCCGCCGCUGCGUCGGACGCGUCCAGGUUGGCCAAGAACACCACCGGCACAGCGCCCGACGAGGCGUACGGUCUCGCGCACUGCCGCGCCGACGUCAAUGCAUCCGAGUGCCGCUCGUGCCUCGACACCUGGGCGCGGGACGCAGACAUCAAGUGCCCCGGCCAGAAAAAGUCCACGCUCUUCUACGACGCCUGCCUCCUGCGCCACUAGAACGUGAGCUUCUUCGGCGUCGCCGACAUGUCGUGGCUGACCGGCUUAUGCAACGCGGUGAACGCGACGCAGCCCGAGCUGUUCAAGACGCAGCUGGGCGCGCUGAUGAACAACCUCAGCAGCAAGGCGUCGUCGUCCCCGCGACUGUUCGCGGCCGACACGGUCGACUUGACGCCCUUCACCAAGAUCCACGACAUGUCCCAGUGCACGCGCGACCUCGCCGGCGACGACUGCAACCGCUGCCUCGCCGUAGCCGUCUCGUACAUCCCGAAAUUUUGCGACGGGAGGGAGGGAGGACAGGUCGCCACCCGGAGCUGCUCCAUCCGGUACGAGUUGUAUCCUUUCUACAACGCACAGGCCCUAGAAGAUAGGGUAAAUUAUUCUGAAUUUCCUUUUGACCGAGAGCGGCGACGACGAAUCUUCCCUGGGGUUGCAGCAAACGACGAUGCCACAGCCAAGAUAGCUCUGUUCGUCUCCAUUCCUGUUGCUGUCGUGCUAUUGGUGCUGUUGACAGUUGCUUUGUAUCUCUGCAAGAGGAAUAACAAGAAACCACACGAACAUGUGCAGAUAUCCAGCGCGGACAAUGAGUAUGGAGGAGACAUGGGAAGCUCAGAGUCUCCGUUGUACGAUUUCAGCACUCUAAGGGCUGCCACUGACAACUUCUCUGAAGAAAAUAAUCUCAGGGAAGGCGGGUUUGGGCCGGUCUACAAAGGCAUUCUGCGGGAUGGGCAGGAGAUCGCGGUGAAGAGGCUGUCGAAGACCUCCCAGCAAGGGCUCGUGGAGAUGAGGAACGAGGUUGUGCUGGUGGCCAAGCUUCAGCACAAGAAUCUGGUGCGCUUGCUCGGCUGCUGCAUCCAAGAGGAGGAGAUGCUCCUCGUCUACGAGUUCCUCUUCAACAGAAGCCUCAACAAGAUUCUAUUCGAUCCUGCGAGGCAGCAAGAGCUUACCUGGGGGCACAGGUUCAGAAUCAUCCAGGGGAUCAGGCGAGGCCUUCUUUACCUCCACGAAGAUUCGAGGCAGGACCGGGGCGUGCACAACUCAGUUCAGGUUCGAGGGGGUUCGGACUGA